rnacentral:lncRNA from 1 species
CAGAAUUAAAAUGGAGUCGAAUGCGCAACCCUCAGACUUUGUAGCAAACCGUUUAGCACCACGAGCUGAUCCAGAGUGCAUACCCAUGCACUUGAGGGUGUAUAUGUAAAAUGGCUAAAGAAAGAGGGACUUAAUUGCAUUGCAACGUUUUAAAGUUUCCUCUGACUAAUUUUGUAAUUCUAGUUACCGGAUAUGUUAUUCGCAUUAAUAAUCUUAGCGAACGCGUUCGUAAAAAUUCAACGAAGAUUCACGAUAAAGUUAAAAAAAAAAUUUGCAACUGUUGCAAUGCCAUUAAUUCCCUCUAACUUAUACUCCCACAUACAUAUAGGCUAAAUAUACUUAAGGGUGUGUGGAUUGUGUAUUCAGGCGUUGCAUUUAACAGUCAGCAUGAGUAUAUUCUACAGUCUACGAUAGGCAGACUAAUAAAGACCACUUAUUCCGAAUAUUGGCUUCGAAAUUUAUAAGUUAAUUGUUAAUUUACGAGCGGAGAUAUUGCAACGCUGUGAUGUUCUCAUUGUGAUAGUUACCCCACAAACGCCACUUUACAAGGCAACAAAUAAAUUAAUGAUUCUCGUGGAUUUGUUUGUUGCAGAAACGUUGACAAUGGAAGGAGCUGCGGUGAAGUUGCGGUAGCCGUCAAGAUGUAUCAGCUGACAGAAAUACUAAUAGUUCUCCUUAUCGUCAACGCCUCGAGCCUCGCAGCGCCGCAGGGCCAGCCUCAGGCAGGAGCGCCCCUGGGGGCAACCACCGGGACCUCGGUCAAAGUCAAUCGGAGGACCUUCAGGGACUGGAGGCGAGGAGAUCCCACUUUGGUCAGAAAUCUCGGCAAUAGAGAUUCCUUAGGCAACGCGCAGUUCUACAUCAUCCUGGCACUAUGCAUCGGGUUCGUGUCGGUGGUGGUGGGCUGCUGGCUCUCGGACAACUGCUGGUCCCCGGAGCCGGAGACGUGCGUGACGCUGGCAUAG